rnacentral:rRNA from 1 species
CCGGCGACCGGCGCACGGGUGAGUAACACGUAUGGAACCUGCCCGCAGCAGGGGGAUAAGCGGAAGAAAUUCCGUCUAAUACCGCGUAACAACGUUGGGAGGCAUCUCCCGAUGUUUAAAGAUUUAUCGGCUGCGGAUGGCCAUGCGGCGCAUUAGCUAGUCGGCGGGGUAACGGCCCACCGAGGCGACGAUGCGUAGGGGUUCUGAGAGGAAGGUCCCCCACACUGGUACUGAGACACGGACCAGGCUCCUACGGAAGGCAGCAG